rnacentral:rRNA from 1 species
UACGUAGGGGGCGAGCGUUAUCCGGAUUUACUGGGUGUAAAGGGAGCGUAGACGGCCAUGCAAGCCUGAUGUGAAAGGUGUGGGCACAACCCGCACACUGCAUUGGGAACUGUAUGGCUAGAGUGUCGGAGGGGCAGGCGGAAUUCCUGGUGUAGCGGUGAAAUGCGUAGAUAUCAGGAGGAACACCGGUGGCGAAGGCGGCCUGCUGGACGACGACUGACGUUGAGGCUCGAGAGCGUGGGGAGCGAACA